GCGUGAUGACGAGGCACUACGGUGCUGAAGCAACAAAUGCCCUGCUUCCAGGAAAAGCCUCUAAGCAUCAGGUAACAUCAAAUCGUACCCCAAACCGACACAGGUGGUCAGGUAGAGAAUACCAAGGCGCUUGAGAGAACUCGGGUGAAGGAACUAGGCAAAAUGGUGCCGUAACUUCGGGAGAAGGCACGCUGAUAUGUAGGUGAAGUCCCUCGCGGAUGGAGCUGAAAUCAGUCGAAGAUACCAGCUGGCUGCAACUGUUUAUUAAAAACACAGCACUGUGCAAACACGAAAGUGGACGUAUACGGUGUGACGCCUGCCCGGUGCCGGAAGGUUAAUUGAUGGGGUUAGCGCAAGCGAAGCUCUUGAUCGAAGCCCCGGUAAACGGCGGCCGUAACUAUAACGGUCCUAAGGUAGCGAAAUUCCUUGUCGGGUAAGUUCCGACCUGCACGAAUGGCGUAAUGAUGGCCAGGCUGUCUCCACCCGAGACUCAGUGAAAUUGAACUCGCUGUGAAGAUGCAGUGUACCCGCGGCAAGACGGAAAGACCCCGUGAACCUUUACUAUAGCUUGACACUGAACAUUGAGCCUUGAUGUGUAGGAUAGGUGGGAGGCUUUGAAGUGUGGACGCCAGUCUGCAUGGAGCCGACCUUGAAAUACCACCCUUUAAUGUUUGAUGUUCUAACGUUGACCCGUAAUCCGGGUUGCGGACAGUGUCUGGUGGGUAGUUUGACUGGGGCGGUCUCCUCCUAAAGAGUAACGGAGGAGCACGAAGGUUGGCUAAUCCUGGUCGGACAUCAGGAGGUUAGUGCAAUGGCAUAAGCCAGCUUGACUGCGAGCGUGACGGCGCGAGCAGGUGCGAAAGCAGGUCAUAGUGAUCCGGUGGUUCUGAAUGGAAGGGCCAUCGCUCAACGGAUAAAAGGUACUCCGGGGAUAACAGGCUGAUACCGCCCAAGAGUUCAUAUCGACGGCGGUGUUUGGCACCUCGAUGUCGGCUCAUCACAUCCUGGGGCUGAAGUAGGUCCCAAGGGUAUGGCUGUUCGCCAUUUAAAGUGGUACGCGAGCUGGGUUUAGAACGUCGUGAGACAGUUCGGUCCCUAUCUGCCGUGGGCGCUGGAGAACUGAGGGGGGCUGCUCCUAGUACGAGAGGACCGGAGUGGACGCAUCACUGGUGUUCGGGUUGUCAUGCCAAUGGCACUGCCCGGUAGCUAAAUGCGGAAGAGAUAAGUGCUGAAAGCAUCUAAGCACGAAACUUGCC
rnacentral:rRNA from 1 species